rnacentral:lncRNA from 12 species
AUGUAUCAGUGCUUCCAGGGACGCCGCGCUGCCCCCUUUCACGGUGCAAAUCAGUCCCUGCGGGGUACACUCUCUAUUCGGUUGUUCUCAUCUUGUGUCUCUGAGCGAAGCCCCCAGGUGCUAGGCCCAGAGGCCUUCAGUCUUGAACCCACAGAACACUUUUAUGUGAAACCCUGUGGCAGACAAACCAGUACUAUGACAAGAGCCAACAUGACUGAAGAGCCCAUAGGAGCAGAGAUUGGGCCCAAUUUCCUGCCCCAAAGGAGAUGUCUCCCAGAAGGAAGUAGAAGGCUCAAGCCAGGAGAAGACACAGGACUGAUUCAAGGCUGUGGGGUCCCUGCUCCUGGCCCUGCCUGCAGCCCUCUUCCACUGCCCGCCGAGUUACCCGGGGCGCUGGGAACUACCACGUCCCUCACACCCUGCUUCAGGAGAAACCCGGCAAUAAUCUGUGUUUAA